UUUUGGUGCUCUGCUCUCUCUGCCAGAUUUCCCAUUCCCCUCCAUUUUCCUUUCUCUCUCUCUCGUGACCAUACCUAUCCCAUUUCUCCUCCACCCAAGACGCUGGCCAAGAACACGAACGAAGACAGUGCAGCCCAUUCAUCACUUCGCGUCUCUCUUCCAUCGUGACCUCCACCACUUCGCGUCUCUCCUCCACCGUGACAUCCAGCACGUUGCUGGCCAGGAACACGAAGGGAGUGCAGCAGCGAGAGAACGCAGUGCAGGGAGAACACAGAGCCACCAUCGAACUCCGAUUCGCGGACGAUUCCGACGGCCACGACCACCGCGAAGACAAACAAUCUGUCCAUUUUCUUGCAUUAUCCAAAAAGGGUUUGUAUUGAUGCUGCAGCAGUGACCUUCAUGACUUGCAGAGAGCAAAACAUCAUUUAUAUGUGUUUUUAAUAUUUUCAUUUUCUUGUUUAAUAAAUCAUUGUUGUUGUAUUCUUCAUUGAAGGAGAAUUUUUUUUGGUAAUAUAACAUUGGGACAAUGUUCAGUCAACUAAAUUUGGAAUGAAACAAAUUGAAAUUUGA